rnacentral:rRNA from 1 species
UGGGGAAUAUUGGACAAUGGGGGGAACCCUGAUCCAGCCAUGCCGCGUGUGUGAAGAAGGCCUUAUGGUUGUAAAGCACUUUAAGCGAGGAGGAGGGUACUGGUAUUAAUACUACCAGGUACUGGACGUUACUCGCAGAAUAAGCACCGACUAACUCUGUGCCAGCAGCCGCGGUAAUACAGAGGGUGCGAGCGUUAAUCGGAUUUACUGGGCGUAAAGCGUGCGUAGGCGGCUAAUUGAGUCGGAUGUGAAAUCCCCGAGCUUAACUUGGGAAUUGCAUUCGAUACUGGUUAGCUAGAGUGUGGGAGAGGAUGGUAGAAUUCCAGGUGUAGCGGUGAAAUGCGUAGAGAUCUGGAGGAAUACCGAUGGCGAAGGCAGCCAUCUGGCCUAACACUGACGCUGAGGUACGAAAGCAUGGGGAGCAAACAGG